GAUGAACGCUGGCGGCGUGCCUAAUACAUGCAAGUCGAGCGAACGGACGAGAAGCUUGCUUCUCUGAUGUUAGCGGCGGACGGGUGAGUAACACGUGGAUAACCUACCUAUAAGACUGGGAUAACUUCGGGAAACCGGAGCUAAUACCGGAUAAUAUUUUGAACCGCAUGGUUCAAAAGUGAAAGACGGUCUUGCUGUCACUUAUAGAUGGAUCCGCGCUGCAUUAGCUAGUUGGUAAGGUAACGGCUUACCAAGGCAACGAUGCAUAGCCGACCUGAGAGAGUGAUCGGCCACACUGGAACUGAGACACGGUCCAGACGCCUACGGGAGGCAGCAGUAGGGAAUCUUCCGCAAAGGGCGAAAGCCUGACGGAGCAACGCCGCGUGAGUGAUGAAGGUCUUCGGAUCGUAAAACUCUGUUAUUAGGGAAGAACAUAUGUGUAAGUAACUGUGCACAUCUUGACGGUACCUAAUCAGAAAGCCACGGCUAACUACGUG
rnacentral:rRNA from 1 species